UUGCCUGUGAUGGUCAAGAAUUUCUUCACCUGAAUAGUCUAUGUGGUCAAAGUAUGUCUGAGGCAAA